rnacentral:rRNA from 1 species
AACUGCGAAUGGCUCAUUAAAUCAGUUAUCGUUUAUUUGAUAGUACCUUACUACAUGGAUACCUGUGGUAAUUCUAGAGCUAAUACAUGCUAAAAACCCCGACUUCGGAAGGGGUGUAUUUAUUAGAUAAAAAACCAAUGCCCUUCGGGGCUCCUUGGUGAAUCAUAAUAACUUAGCGAAUCGCAUGGCCUUGCGCCGGCGAUGGUUCAUUCAAAUUUCUGCCCUAUCAACUUUCGAUGGUAGGAUAGUGGCCUACCAUGGUGGCAACGGGUAACGGGGAAUUAGGGUUCGAUUCCGGAGAGGGAGCCUGAGAAACGGCUACCACAUCCAAGGAAGGCAGCAGGCGCGCAAAUUACCCAAUCCCGACACGGGGAGGUAGUGACAAUAAAUACUGAUACGGGGCUCUUUUGGGUCUCGUAAUUGGAAUGAGUACAAUCUAAAUCCCUUAACGAGGAACAAUUGGAGGGCAAGUCUGGUGCCAGCAGCCGCGGUAAUUCCAGCUCCAAUAGCGUAUAUUAAAGUUGUUGCAGUUAAAAAGCUCGUAGUUGAACCUUGGGUCUGGCUGGCCGGUCCGCCUCACCGCGAGUACUGGUCCGGCUGGACCUUUCCUUCUGGGGAACCCCAUGGCCUUCACUGGCUGUGGGGGGAACCAGGACUUUUACUGUGAAAAAAUUAGAGUGUUCAAAGCAGGCCUAUGCUCGAAUACAUUAGCAUGGAAUAAUAGAAUAGGACGUGCGGUUCUAUUUUGUUGGUUUCUAGGACCGCCGUAAUGAUUAAUAGGGAUAGUCGGGGGCGUCAGUAUUCAGCUGUCAGAGGUGAAAUUCUUGGAUUUGCUGAAGACUAACUACUGCGAAAGCAUUCGCCAAGGAUGUUUUCAUUAAUCAGGGAACGAAAGUUAGGGGAUCGAAGACGAUCAGAUACCGUCGUAGUCUUAACCAUAAACUAUGCCGACUAGGGAUCGGGCGGUGUUUCUAUAAUGACCCGCUCGGCACCUUACGAGAAAUCAAAGUU